GUCGUCGGGUGCCGCCGGUGGGGGUGCUAGUAGGAGAAAUAGUCUUCUUCCACCGAUGUUAGAUCCAAGUACUUCGGCCCUGGCAGGAUCAUUUUUAAACGAUAGUCUACUGGUUGGAAGUAGCAGCGCACUGGCUGCCGCGCUUCAUUUGCCCAAACUGUGCAAUCUAGGGGGUUUAUGAAUAAAAGAUAAUAAAAUAUGAUUAUGACGGAAUGCGAAUUUUUUGUUACAGUUUACUCAAUCUAGUACUACACUCUGUGUGUUCACCUCAAACAAUGUGAGUAACACUCUCCUCUUUCCAGCAGUUCUCAACAGAAGACGCUCCAAAGUCUACGCAAACAACUUGGAGCAGAAGAUGUCGGACAUGGAGGUAGCCCGGUUCGGACUAAGUCAACGCAAGGCCAAGAAGCUGCUCUAUCGGGGGUUCGAGUACGUCAAAGAUCGAGACUUCCCCGACUCGACUAAUUGGCGGUGUGCUCUGUUUCGGCGCCAGAAAUGCCGUGCUCGUGCGAUCACCACAGCCAUCGAAGGCGUUACCUACGUAAGGCUGACCAACGACCAACACAAUCAUGAUUUACAAAUGUAUCGCAAGGCUUCGCUACUAAUGCCGAGGGAGGGGCAAUGAAUAGGUGGGAGGCCAUUCUGUUGAAUAAGAUUAAACAAAUUCUGUGAAACCCUCUAGUACUUACAAUAUCACGCUGCAAUGGACACAUAUAUUGUUUACGAAUCAUUUGGUUGUUUCAGUAACUACUGGAAUUUAAGCUAAGUUCAACAAUAAUUACACAUUGUAUAUUUAUUUGUUGCAGGUUGGAACACGAAUACACGGAGUUCUGCUAGUUACAAAAGCAAGAACAUGUCCAGAUUUGUAGGUAGGUCAAUGUACAGUAAUUAAAUUAAGAUCGAAUGAUCAGAUUUUAAAACUAUUUGACGCAUUGGAAGAACAUUCUGUCACACACACUUUAACUCAAGUAACAAUUUUUAGUCAAAUAGACUUGAAGAGGUUCUAAGAGCAAUCAUAAUAAUAAAAGGGAUGAGGUUUUAUGAUGGUUCUCAAAUCCUCUACAGGACUCAUAAAUCAUUAAAAUGUUACUUUGAGACACACUUUUCAUUCAACCAAUUAAUUAUAUGUGCAAUCCUGCGUAUUUUUCGCCACAUUUUCAAAGGCAACGUAUGACAGUGACGUUCACUUUUACAUGAUGCAUGUGGACGUUUCAACUUUCGUUGACAGUAGAACUAAUUUUCCACGUAAGAUGGCUAACAUAAUUCUUGAAAGAUGUACCUUUCAAAGUAACUUCGGAAACCGUUUAGUUAGUACAUAAUUUGAUCUGAAGUAAAGUGAAAUUCUGAAGACAUUUAUUAAAAAUUAGGCUAAAUCCAUUGCAGUUCCAUUUAAUGUAAAUUCAAUCCAACUGUUGCCGCGAAUUGGGAAGUGUUUGAGUGAAACUGGCAUCACUGCCAUAGAAAUAGGUGUUAUCUGAACAAUGGAAAAGAUCUAGCAGUUGUGUUGGAUAGGUUGCGUCUCUAGUAGAACCGAUGUGAAACUAUUAUGUAAACUAAUUAUUGUUAUUUUUAAGUGUAUAUUAUAUCAUUGUUUAAAUAUAUUACAGCAUUGAAGCUGAUGUGAAGUACACACUGCUAUCAAUAUGUGUUUCGUCGAAAUAGGGACAACGUUCCCCAACACCAAUUUUUUGCUUAAUCUAAUCUAAAACCAAUGUGAAUCAAUAAUGAUUUUUCCUUUUUCUUUCUGCAGGACCACAUACAAGAAUAUUAGACCCGUCCUGCCACAUGAUCAGUUACAGUUUCAGUGAAACGGGUAAAGCCAUAGUCACCAUCGAUGGGUGCAGGUUCCGAAGAUCUUCAGCACAGGGAUCGAGAAUUUACUGGAAAUGUUCCAGAGUCAAAACCAAAAAGUGCUCAGCCAGAAUUACCACUUCCGUUAAUAGUUCGAAAAUUUUCUACAGCAUUCGGCCUCACACUCAUCCACCGGACGUCUAGAAAUAAGUCAGUUGAAGAUUUGAGAAAAUAAAGCACAAUAACGAAGCUCUCUGUGAUGGAAUCCGAGCAAUUUUGUACAUCGAACUGUUCUAAAUGGUCGUUUCAAAUACUCUUGGUUCGUGCAGGGUAGCGACAUGGUAUUUUCGAUUGUAGAUGGCCCACCUAACUAGUGUUGGAUAUGAGAAUGGCGAUGGUCUUACAUGACUUCCACCGUUGCUGAUGUUUACUGGCGUUAUAUUGUACUCACAUUUUCUUUUCAUUUUUUUCAGGUUGCAAUCCGUGGGCAUUGAAUUUUGCAAACCGUACAAGAGGUUCCACAGUUAUAAAACGGCGAUCGAGAAUAUUGGACCCGUCUUGUCAUACGAUCAGUCAUGGUUUCAGCCAAAUGGGCAAAGUUAUAAUCACCAUCGAUGGGUACAGCUUCGGGAGGUCUUUCUCCCAGGGAACGAGAAUCUACUGGAAAUGCACCAAAGUCGUAAUCGAAAAGUGUCCAGCCAGAAUUACCACCUGCGUCAAUAGUACAAACAUAAUCCACGGCGUUCGGCCUCACAAUCAUCCGCCGUACGUUUAGACAUGAAUCGCUAGAUGAUUUUGGAAAAUAAAGCAUAAUGACCAAGAUAUUUGCAAUGCCAAACGUGAAUUUUGAACAGCUGUCUCCUCUCAUCAAUCAUAUCUAGCACACAUAUAUUCAAUGUUCGUUUUCCACAACAGCCGAAACUGCAAGGAAGUACCAGAACCCUCCAGCGGAAUCAGAUAGCGAUAGAGAUGACGGUUUUUAUCGAUCAAAGUCCCUACUCCCGUUGGAUCUGCGAGUGGUGAUGGGCCGUACGGGACGUCCAACGUUGCUGAUGGGUGGCCACGUUUUCAUUCGCAAUAACACUCACAAAGAUAAAACCUAUUGGUUGUGUUCGAAGAGUCGCUCGCUGAAGUGUCGCGCCCGGAUAAUUACCCUGGACGGUAGUGGAGGUCUGGUUCUCAAGAAUCAGAUCCAUAACCAUUCGGCGGGUGGAAAUCGCUAGUGCAGAUGUAAAAAUAAAGAAUAAAACACUAGAUUUUUUUGUUUUUUUUUUUCAUAUCAUUUAUACAUGCCGUACUCGAUUCUUCGAUUUCUCACUAACCACCGCCUAAUUCUCACUCCUUACAGGAAAAAUCGUCGUCAAGGAAAAGUCAACGGAAGAAAAAUUCUUCUUCGUCCGCACCGCCGAUGGUCGCUAUAAAAUUCAUGCAAAUGCCCCAAUCAAGAAGGAAAAAGCACAUCCACAGCAGAAAAUGGUUAAUACUGGAACCAGACUGAUCCGAUCAAGAAUUAUCUUUCCCCUUAACGAAGGAACAGAAGUGGAACAGUUGGAAGAACUUGUGAAGAAGGAUUCCACAAUCAGACAGGAAUAUAUUAAUGUUCUGAGGCUAAAGCCUAGGGAUAUGCAAAUCGUCCAUUACAUGCACAACGUUUUCACGGAUGAUUCACUUAUUGACUACAAUUACAAUAAUGGCCAUGGCAAACGCGCUAUGCGAAUGUACGACAUAUUUUUCAAAUGCUUCAUGGAAGCGUACGAAGCGGAGGAACUUACAGAGUUUGAGCUUGCCUACCAGCUGACGUUGGCGAUCAAGCAAAGUCGAAACCGGAUGCGGCAGCGCAUGUUCCGCGCUAGGAAAAUUGUGAAAGCAAGUUGUGGAAAGAGAAAGCGUACUCCAUAACCAUCCUGCGGGUGGAAAGCACUAGUGGAGAUGUACAAAUAAAGAAUGAAACCAGACCUUUUAUUUUUAUUUAUUAUAUCUACAUACAGUACUAAAUUCUUCGAUUUCUCACUAACCACGCCCUAAUUCUCACCUCUUACAGGAAAAAUCAUUGCCAAGGAAAAGUCAACGGAAGAAAACUUUUAUUUCGUCCGCACCGCCAAUGGUCGCUAUAAAAUUCAGGCAAAUGCCCCUUCAUCAAAAAUCAAGAAGGAAAUAGCGCAUCCACAGCCAAAAAUGAUUAAUACUGGAACCAGACUGAUUCGAUCUGGAAUCAUCUUUCCUCUUAACGAAGGAACGGAAGUGGAACAGUUGGAACAACUUGUGAAGAAGGAUUCCAUAAUCAGGCAGGAAUAUAUUGAUGUUCUGAAGCUCAAGCCUAGGGAAACCAAAAUCGUUCAUUACGUGCACAACGUUUUCGCGGACGAAUCACUUAUUGGCUACAAUUACAAUGGAGUUAACGUUGUUGGCCAAACUAAACGUGCUAUGCGAAUGUAUGACAUAUUCUCCGACUGCUUCAUGGGUAUGCUGUACAAGUUUUAUCGUGCUUCCUGAUCACAACCAACUAACUCGAUUUGCACCUCUUACAUACGUCGAGCUUGCCUUCCAGCUGACGUCGGCGAUCAAGCAAAGUCGAAACCGGAUGCGGCAGCGCAUGUUCCGUGCUAGGAAAAUUGUGAAAGCAAGUUGUGAAAAGAGAAAGGGAACUCCAUUUGAGACUUGAUGAACUUGAUGUCUACCUUAAUGAUUCAAUUAUUUACAUUUUUAAGACGCUCAGCUUCUUCAUUGUUUUUUUAGUGCUCUUAGCCGCCUUAUAAUGAGGUUCUGGAAUCAGUACUUUCUUUUUAUAAUGAAUUCUAACAUGCUUACAUUUAUUUUUUCAUCCUGAAGACAGGUUUAUUUUAUUUUGAAGAAGUUGUAAUGGAAUGCAAUCACUCUUACCACUACGAUACCAUACCUCAGAAAUACUUUACUUUGUAGUAGUAAUGUUUUCAUCAGAAAAUGUUCGAAUCCAACACUCAAGUAAAAAUAAAAUAAAAUUUUUAAAAAAAUAGAUAAAACAAAAUUAUCUUAACGUAUAUUCUUCAACAGAACAAACUCCUUGAAACUAAAACUAAUUAUACCAACUCCUCCCCAUUCCAGACCAAGAGUUCAUGAUGAUAGAAAUCUGCUCCGAUGAAGCCACUCGGCAUACCUCCGAUGAUGACCAAAGCAAAUCCACGUCCUCCGAAAAAGGUAAUACAGCAGCAAGGUCACUUCGGUUAGCGGGAUUCACGUUUCCUCUGAAACGUGCAGAAGACAUCGAACGCUUGGAGAAAGCCGUCGGAACAGAUGCAUUCAUUCGGAAAGAAUACGUAAUCCUCCGUCGACACAAGUGCGUACGUUUCAGCUUUGAAUAU